ACUUGUCCCAUGGAAUUCUCCUGUAUGCCUGAGCAUUUUGUUGAAGAUGCAAUGGAGUUACUGAUAUUUGCUUCAAGAAUUCCCAAAGCUUUGGAUGGUGUACCACUGGACGACUUUAUGAACUUCAUAAUUAUGUUCAUGGCAAGUCCUGAAUAUGUUAGA